UGAACAAAUUUUGGAAAACCAAGAGGUUGAUAUUGGUGAAGGUGUUGCAAUAGACAGUGAAAAAUGGAAGAAGAUUCAGGCUAAUUUAAAGGACAGCUUGUUUGUAAAAGAACUGGCAGUGUGCAUUUGGAGAACAAGCACACUGGCCAACCGUAGCCUGGAAGGAAAAAGUUGCCCCACCACAAAACCAGAUCCUAGGCCCUCUGACACCUCACAAAUAUAGAGCAAUUAAAGGUUGCUUUCAAAAGUGGCUGGAAGGAAAAGAUUUCGAGGAAGCAGAGCUGAAAGCCAGAGCGGGAAAACUUGGGUGAUAUUUAACAGAACAAAUUCAAGAUAUCAACAAAAAAAUAAAUCAAAAAAGUGAAUUUGCAUAUAUGUAAGCUGCUGAAAACUGUUAAGUAUUUGUAUUUCAGUUAGGUUAUUACUGCCAAUUAUUAAGUAAUGUAUCUCAUA